rnacentral:rRNA from 1 species
UAGCAGAUAGCUCAGUAACACGUGGCCAAACUACCCUAUGGAUCCGGAUAACCUCGGGAAACUGAGGCUAAUCCGGAAUAGAGUUCCCUGCCUGGAGUGGCGUGAACUCGAAACGUUCAGGCGCCAUAGGAUGUGGCUGCGGCCGAUUAGGUAGACGGUGGGGUAACGGCCCACCGUGCCUAUAAUCGGUACGGGUUGUGAGAGCAAGAGCCCGGAGACGGUAUCUGAGACAAGAUACCGGGCCCUACGGGGCGCAGCAGGCGCGAAACCUUUACACUGCACGCGAGUGCGAUAAGGGGACUCCAAGUGCGAGGGCAUAUAGUCCUCGCUUUUCACGACCGUAAGGAGGUUGUAGAAUAAGUGCUGGGCAAGACCGGUGCCAGCCGCCGCGGUAAUACCGGCAGCACGAGUGAUGACCGCUAUUAUUGGGCCUAAAGCGUCCGUAGCUGGCCACGCAAGUUCAUCGGGAAAUCUGCGCGCUUAACGCGCAGGCGUCCGGUGGAAACUGUUUGGCUUGGGACCGGAAGACCAGAGGGGUACGUCCGGGGUAGGAGUGAAAUCCCGUAAUCCUGGACGGACCACCGGUGGCGAAAGCGCCUCUGGAAGACGGAUCCGACGGUGAGGGACGAAAGCUCGGGUCACGAACCGGAUUAGAUACCCGGGUAGUCCGAGCUGUAAACGAUGUCUGAUAGGUGUGGCACAGGCUACGAGCCUGUGCUGUGCCGUAGGGAAGCCGUGAAGCAGAC